CUCGUAGGUUGCCAACUAAGUCAGACGUGAAAUCCCUCGGCUUAACCGGGGAACUGCGUCUGAUACUGGACGGCUUGAGUUCGGGAGAGGGAUGCGGAAUUCCAGGUGUAGCGGUGAAAUGCGUAGAUAUCUGGAGGAACACCGGUGGCGAAGGCGGCAUCCUGGACCGACACUGACACUGAGGAGCGAAAGCCAGGGGAGCAAACG
rnacentral:rRNA from 1 species